AUGGGGUUGGAGGGUCCCAGGGCAGGUGGGGCAAUCCAGAGCCAUGGGGGCUUCCUAUGGGAGUUGGGAGGUCCCGAGGCAGAGGCAGGGGUUCCACAGGAGGAGUCACAGAGCCACCAAGGGCUCUCCUGGCCCAGGAAGCAGUCAAUACCAUGGACUGAACACCUGCUGGGCUCCAAGCCCUGGUCUAGGAUGGGGCAUGUGGGGCCUGGAGGGAGCUCAGAGUGGGAGGCAGAGAGAAGCGUGCUCAGAGGGCACCCAUUUCUGCAUGUAACGUGGUCCUGAGAUUUUGGCUGGGAAGGGUUUCCAGGGUUUCAUAUGUGUUAUGGAGCUACUUCCUCUCCCCAGCCUCACCCUGCAGGAAUCCAGUGAAUAUAUUGCCACCAGUGUACCCAUUCCUGAGGGGUGGUGCUUCUACAGGGCCUGUGACUUGUUUCACAACUUCAGACACCAUCAUCCUGCAGCAGCACUGCACCCUUUCUAGUCAGGGUGUUGAUGACUUCCUCAAGGCCAAGACCACGUUCAAGAUUUUGGACUUUUGAUGCACUUGUGAUGAGCAAGCCAAGAGACACAAACCUGCCUGGCCACCUUUAGAAUACGACAGCACAGCCAGUGGCCUCUACUGGAUCCUGUACAACCUCACAAGACCCCCAGACACUAAGAGUGCUGCCAGCACAUGGUGCAAGAGUCCUGAGGGACCACAGUCCUGAAGACAUUGAAUGAUCUACUUCCAGGAAACUCAAACUAAGACACGCAUUUUUUCUGUCGGCUCCUACAAUCCUCAUAGACCUGUCAUUGUGCUGAGGAUCAGAGAGGGAACGUCACUUGCCCAAAGUCACACAGCUGAACAGUGAUGGAGUUCAACCUUGACCAUGGGCUGUCUGGUCCCAAGUUUUUAGGUGAAAAAAACUGGGGCAAAGAGCAAUACAAGAGAGUUGCCAAAAUUCAUACUGCUUGUCCAGGUUUGAAGCAAGCAGACUGCACCUAGAGUCCUUGUCUGUACCCAUGGCACCCUGGUUUCUCACGCAUCUCAUAAUGGAGUUCCACUUUGUGUCAAGCAUGGCAUUGAGCAGUUUCUAAUAAUAAACGUGUACCAAUUCUAUCAUCAAGCUGUUUAUGUUUUUUACAUUUCUGUUCUUGAUAAUUAUAUGCUAGUCUUUGAAUAUGAAGAUAAUGCUUCUGACCCAAUAUUCAUAAUG